GUGAGGUAAUGGCUCACCAAGGCUUCGACGGGUAGCCGGCCUGAGAGGGCGAUCGGCCACACUGGGACUGAGACACGGCCCAGACUCCUACGGGAGGCAGCAGUGGGGAAUAUUGGACAAUGGGCGGAAGCCUGAUCCAGCAACGCCGCGUGAGGGAUGACUGCCUUCGGGUUGUAAACCUCUUUCAUCAUUGACGAAGCUUCAACGUUGUUGGGGUGACGGUAGGUGGAGAAGAAGCACCGGCCAACUACGUGCCAGCAGCCGCGGUAAUACGUAGGGUGCGAGCGUUGUCCGGAAUUAUUGGGCGUAAAGGGCUCGUAGGCGGUUUGUCGCGUCGGGAGUGAAAACACUGGGCUUAACCGAGUGCUUGCUUUCGAUACGGGCAGACUAGAGGUAUGCAGGGGAGAACGGAAUUCCUGGUGUAGCGGUGAAAUGCGCAGAUAUCAGGAGGAACACCGGUGGCGAAGGCGGUUCUCUGGGCAUUACCUGACGCUGAGGAGCGAAAGUGUGGGGAGCGAACAGGAUUAGAUACCCUGGUAGUCCACACCGUAAACGUUGGGCGCUAGGUGUGGGGCCUAUUCCAUGGGUUCCGUGCCGCAGCUAACGCAUUAAGCG
rnacentral:rRNA from 1 species